rnacentral:rRNA from 1 species
AAGAGUUUGAUCCUGGCUCAGGAUGAACGCUGGCGGCGUGCCUAAUACAUGCAAGUCGAGCGAACGGACGAGAAGCUUGCUUUUCUGAUGUUAGCGGCGGACGGGUGAGUAACACGUGGAUAACCUACCUAUAAGACUGGGAUAACUUCGGGAAACCGGAGCUAAUACCGGAUAAUAUUUUGAACCGCAUGGUUCAAAAGUGAAAGACGGUCUUGCUGUCACUUAUAGAUGGAUCCGCGCUGCAUUAGCUAGUUGGUAAGGUAACGGCUUACCAAGGCAACGAUGCAUAGCCGACCUGAGAGGGUGAUCGGCCACACUGGAACUGAGACACGGUCCAGACUCCUACGGGAGGCAGCAGUAGGGAAUCUUCCGCAAUGGGCGAAAGCCUGACGGAGCAACGCCGCGUGAGUGAUGAAGGUCUUCGGAUCGUAAAACUCUGUUAUUAGGGAAGAACAUAUGUGUAAGUAACUGUGCACAUCUUGACGGUACCUAAUCAGAAAGCCACGGCUAACUACGUGCCAGCAGCCGCGGUAAUACGUAGGUGGCAAGCGUUAUCCGGAAUUAUUGGGCGUAAAGCGCGCGCAGGCGGAUUGGUCAGUCUGUCUUAAAAGUUCGGGGCUUAACCCCGUGAUGGGAUGGAAACUGCCAAUCUAGAGUAUCGGAGAGGAAAGUGGAAUUCCUAGUGUAGCGGUGAAAUGCGUAGAUAUUAGGAAGAACACCAGUGGCGAAGGCGACUUUCUGGACGAAAACUGACGCUGAGGCGCGAAAGCCAGGGGAGCGAACGGGAUUAGAUACCCCGGUAGUCCUGGCCGUAAACGAUGGGUACUAGGUGUAGGAGGUAUCGACCCCUUCUGUGCCGGAGUAACGCAAUAAGUACCCCGCCUGGGGAGUACGACCGCAAGGUUGAAACUCAAAGGAAUUGACGGC